rnacentral:rRNA from 1 species
AGGACGAACGCUGGCGGCGUGCUUAACACAUGCAAGUCGAGCGGUAAGGCCUCUUCGGGGGUACACGAGCGGCGAACGGGUGAGUAACACGUGAGCAAUCUGCCCUUCACUUCGGGAUAAGCCUCGGAAACGGGGUCUAAUACCGGAUAUGACCGUGCCAUGCAUGUGGUGUGGUGGAAAGUUCUGGCGGUGGAGGAUGAGCUCGCGGCCUAUCAGCUUGUUGGUGGGGUAAUGGCCUACCAAGGCUUCGACGGGUAGCCGGCCUGAGAGGGUGACCGGCCACACUGGGACUGAGACACGGCCCAGACUCCUACGGGAGCAGCAGUGGGAAUAUUGGACAAUGGGCGAAAGCCUGAUCCAGCAACGCCGCGUGAGGAUGACGGCUUCGGGUGUAAACCUCUUCAGCGCGACGAAGCGAGAGUGACGGUAGGCGCAGAAGACGCACCGGUCAACGUACGUGCCAGCAGCCGAC